ACGAACGCUGGCGGCAGGCCUAACACAUGCCAGUCGAGCGAGCAUUUCGGUGCUAGCGGCGGACGGGUGAGUAACGCGUGGGAACGUGCCCUUUUCUGCGGAAUAGUCCUGGGAAACUGGGGGUAAUACCGCAUACGCCCUUUUGGGGAAAGAUUUAUCGGAGAAGGAUCGGCCCGCGUUGGAUUAGGUAGUUGGUGGGGUAAUGGCCCACCAAGCCGACGAUCCAUAGCUGGUUUGAGAGGAUGAUCAGCCACACUGGGACUGAGACACGGCCCAGACUCCUACGGGAGGCAGCAGUGGGGAAUCUUAGACAAUGGGGGCAACCCUGAUCUAGCCAUGCCGCGUGAGUGAUGAAGGCCUUAGGGUUGUAAAGCUCUUUCAGCUGGGAAGAUAAUGACGGUACCAGCAGAAGAAGCCCCGGCUAACUCCGUG
rnacentral:rRNA from 1 species